UAAUGAUUUUAGAUAUAAGUUAAAUUGAGAUUGAAAAACCCAUUAGGAUGGAAUUAAAACACCAUUUAAUAUUAAAAUUACAACUAUCAAUCUCAACCCAAACCCUAAAACUAAAAUCCAUUUUGGAUCUGGAAAAGGCGAAGCUGACGGUGAACCAUGAGCGUCGAUGCUAGUGAUUCCUCAACUUACUUUGGUGAACUGAUCAGGGUCCUUGUCGAGAAAUGGCCGGGUACCGAUGGUAAAAUGACGCUCGGUUUGCACUUUUUGGAUCUGGAAAGGGAUGAAGUCUUUAUUAGAGCGAUGCCACCUGAUGCUUCUUUAUCUUCCACUGCCGUUGCCUGUGGCAACCACGUUUACGUUCUUGGGGGAAUACGCAAAAAUGAUGCUACUAUUUUUGGUUAUGAUGAUGUAAACGACGUUUUCCAAUUAGAUUUGAAGGACCUUGAACAUGGGUGGAGAAAAACUACUUCUAUGUUGUUCCCUCGGUCUUUUCCCCUGGUUCUUGCUGCUGAAGGAAAGAUUUACGUCUUCGAACGUAUGGGUUCUGAAUCUUUUGGCUAGGUUUACGAUAUAAGUGGGGAUAUUUGGGAACCAUUGUUGCCCCGUCCGGAAGGUAUCAGUUUAUGCGAUCCUGUUCUAGAUUCUUUCCGAUCUCGGAUUUUGGUGCACUGCAAUGCCAAUGAUACUCUUUACGCUUAUUACUAUGAUAGAAAAUCAUGGGUUUGCCUCGGACAAAAAUUUUGUUACUGGUCUGAAUCGGCGACAAUCGUGGACGAUGUGCUGUAUACUGUCAUUUAUAAUUAUUCUGGUAAGUUCCGUUCUUUGGAGGCGUAUAAUUUGCUUGAUAAGAAACAUUUGCCCGUUAAAUGGUCAUCAGAAUUUUCAGUGGAUCUAACAAUGAAAGGCAUUCUGUAUCGUUUGGGCAAUGGCAAGUGUAUUUUGGGUUGGGUCAACCAUAAACAUAUGAGUUUUGAGUACUUAAGAUUAACUAUUUGGUGCAACGAGCAGUGAGGGAUUCAUGCAGCUGCAGAGCAUCAAUCUGUCAUCACUGUUCCAUAUCCCAAAGAUGUUUCUGAUGUAAUGUUGUUCUGAAUGAAGCUCCAACACGUAAGAAGUCAAAAAUGAAAAUGGAAUGAAUUACAUAUGAAGAUGAAUGCUGCAGACUGCGGAGGUAUAUCUGAAAAACCAUUAAUAGAUUAUUUGUUUUGUUGGUUGUUGUGAGUGAAUAACUGUGGGUUUGAAAAGAUAGGGAGUUAUAAUAAUAAUGAUCUUACUCACUUUUCAUUGCUGUAAAAGGUCAUGGAAGCUUUUAUUAUUAUUAUUAACAAUGUUAAGUUUUAGGGCUUAUUUGGUGCCUUCUGAUGGGGGUGUGCUGGGGGAUUUGUGUGUAUAUAUUUUGGUUAAAACUUUGAACUUGAUGAUGUAAUUGGGUGCUGAUACCGAAAUAUUGAGAAAGUUAAAAUUAUAUAGUAUUGUGAUUUUACACUUUA